CUCAAACUCCGGAAGGCAUGGCUGAGCAAGAGGUGAAGCUGUUGGGAGCAGGAACAAGCCCAUUUGUUCACAGGGUGAAAGUGGCAUUAGAACUGAAGGGAAUCCCAUAUGAAUAUAUACAAGAAGAUGUGUUCAACAAAAGCUCUCUACUUCUCAAGUAUAAUCCAGUCUUCAAGAAAAUUCCAGUGCUUGUGCAUAAUCAAAAACCCAUUUCUGAAUCCCUUGUCAUCCUUGAAUAUAUUGAUGAGACUUGGAAACACAACCCUAUGUUUCCUCAGGAUGCUCACGAGAAGGCCAUGGCUCGCUUCUGGGCAAAGUUCAUAGAUGACAAGGUUACUACAGCUAUAAGAGGAGUUUUAACAACUGAAGGAGUGCAACAACAGGAGAAUGAGAAGCACGCAAUGGAAGCUUUGCAAGUAAUCGAUGGAGAGCUCAAGGGUAAGAAAUUUUUUGGAGGUGAAAGCAUUGGAUUUGUUGAUAUAGUGAUGGGUGGGAUCACUUUAUGGCUUGAAGCUUUAGAAGAAGCAGCUGGUGUUAAAAUACAUGACCCUGAAAAGUAUCCUUCAAUAGACAAAUGGAUGCAGAAUUUUGCCCAGUUACCUGUCAUCAAAGAAUCCUUGCCUCAAAGGGACAUUUUGCUCCAAUACUUUAGAAAAGGUCGCCAGCUUUCACUUGCUUCAGCAGCUGGAAAAUAAUUUCACUCUCUCUCUAUUGGGAUAUUAUUGUUAGAAGUAUAGACUUUGUCUUUGAAUAUCAAAUUAGUUACGUAUUCAACUAAUGAUAUAAUAGUCAAGUGCCUCGUUCAUAAUGUCCCUGUUCACUACGCAUUCGACAUAUAAAAAAAUUCACUCUUCAAUACGAUUUUUCUUAUCUAUUGAUUUAAA
rnacentral:misc_RNA from 1 species